rnacentral:rRNA from 1 species
GAUCCUGGCUCAGGAUGAACGCUGGCGGCGUGCCUAACACAUGCAAGUCGAACGAAGCACAUACGACGGAACUCUUCGGAGGGAAGAUGUAUGUGACUGAGUGGCGGACGGGUGAGUAACGCGUGGGUAACCUGCCCUAUACAGGGGGACAACAGUUGGAAACGACUGCUAAUACCGCAUAAGCGCACAGUACCGCAUGGUACAGAGCGAAAAACUCCGGUGGUAUAGGAUGGCCGGCGU